UCUGCAGAUGAGAUGAAAGCUUUCAAUUGUGAGUUAUAUUCUUCUCAAGAAACGUUAUGAAGGUAAAAGAGAACAGCAUCAGUAUUUCUAAGGAAAAUUUUGAAGGCGGCACUGAUAAAGAAAGAACAACAAGCUCUCUUAUCAAAUGAAAAUCCUGCAGCUAUGAAGAUGAAAUGUGCGACAUCAGCCAUUUGAAGACUUCUCGGCAAGGGAACAAACAUCUGCGUGCACUGGAGCAGCAUGGUGAAGACGAACAAAUUCUGAUAAUGCUGAAACCAUACUGUAGUUUGAAAAGUCUGAACUGCAUUUUCUCCUAGCAAUACACAGACUCCUCAACGAGUCUGCAAGACCAUCCAGAAGGGUGACUGAGUCACUAGCUGAGCGUCGAAGCGGUUGUCCUAUGGAAUUUGGUUCACGAUCGCUUAAUAAUUCACCGAGCCAUACAGGCUCAUCCUCCA